rnacentral:rRNA from 1 species
GUGGGUAAGCUGCCGGGGAGGCCUACACAUGCAAGUCGAGGGGUAACGGCAGUAGCUUGCUACUAGACGAGAACGGCGCACGGGUGAGUAACGCGUAUGUAAUCUGCCUUGUACAGAGGGAUAGCCCAGAGAAAUUUGGAUUAAUACCUCAUAGUAUUACUGAAUCGCAUGAUUCGGUAAUUAAAGCUCCGGCGGUACAAGAUGAACAUGCGUGACAUUAGCUAGUUGGUAAGGUAACGGCUUACCAAGGCUACGAUGUCUAGGGGUUCUGAGAGGAUGAUCCCCCACACUGGUACUGAGACACGGGCCAGACUCCUACGGGAGGCAGCAGUGAGGAAUAUUGGUCAAUGGACGCAAGUCUGAACCAGCCAUCCCGCGUGAAGGAUGACUGCCCUAUGGGUUGUAAACUUCUUUUAUAUGCAAAUAAACCUACUUUCGUGAAAGUAGCUGAAGGUAGCAUAUGAAUAAACACCGGCUAACUCCGUGCCAGCAGCCGCGGUAAUACGGAGGGUGUAAGCGUUAUCCGGAUUUAUUGGGUUUAAAGGGUACGUAGGCGGUAAUAUAAGUCAGUGGUGAAAUCCUGCAGCUCAACUGUAGAACUGCCAUUGAAACUGUAUUACUUGAGUAUACUUGAGGUAGGCGGAAUGAGUAGUGUAGCGGUGAAAUGCUUAGAUAUUACUCAGAACACCGAUUGCGAAGGCAGCUUACUAAGGUAUAACUGACGCUGAUGUACGAAAGCGUGGGGAGCGAACAGGAUUAGAUACCCUGGUAGUCCACGCCGUAAACGAUGAUUACUCGCUGUUGGCGAUACACAGUCAGUGGCUAAGCGAAAGUUUUAAGUAAUCCACCUGGGGAGUACGCUCGCAAGAGUGAAACUCA